UACAGAGGGUGCAAGCGUUGUUCGGAAUUAUUGGGCGUAAAGCGCGUGUAGGCGGCUUGGCAAGUCGGGUGUGAAAGCCCUCAGCUCAACUGAGGAAGUGCGCCCGAAACUGCUGAGCUUGAGUGCCGGAGAGGGUGGCGGAAUUCCCCAAGUAGAGGUGAAAUUCGUAGAUAUGGGGAGGAACACCGGUGGCGAAGGCGGCCACCUGGACGGUGACUGACGCUGAGACGCGAAAGCGUGGGGAGCAAGCAGG
rnacentral:rRNA from 1 species